rnacentral:rRNA from 1 species
UACGUAGGGUGCAAGCGUUGUCCGGAAUUAUUGGGCGUAAGAGCUCGUAGGCGGUCUGUCGCGUCGGAUGUGAAAAUCCAGGGCUCAACCCUGGACCUGCAUUCGAUACGGGCAGACUAGAGUUCGGCAGGGGAGACUGGAAUUCCUGGUGUAGGCGGUGAAAUGCGCAGAUAUCAGGAGGAACACCGGUGGCGAAGGCGGGUCUCUGGGCCGAUACUGACGCUGAGGUGCGAAAGCGUGGGGAGCAAACAGG